UUUUUUGUCGGUCAUGUAUGAAGUCCCAGAUGGCGUCUCCCGGUUUCACAGAUGUUUUUGCUGCGCUGGUAGCUGUUGUAAACACUAAAUUUCCUGAGGUGGGUGAGCUCUUAUUGAGAAGGAUAGUUUUACAGCUCAAGAGAGCAUAUAAGCGGAAUGACAAGCCUCAAUUGCUAGCUGCUGUAAAAUUUAUAGCACACCUAGUGAACCAGCAAGUGGCUCAUGAGAUUAUUGCUCUAGAACUUCUUGCUGUUUUGCUGGAGAAUCCCACUGAUGACAGCGUUGAGGUUGCGGUUGGUUUUGUCACAGAGUGUGGAUCCAUACUUCAAGAUGUCUCGCCAAAAGGCCUGGAUGGAGCUUUUGAGCGAUUUCGUGGAAUUCUUCAUGAAGGAGAGAUUGACAAGCGGGUGCAGUUUUUGAUUGAAGGCCUUUUUGCAAUUAGAAAAGCCAAAUUUCAGGGGUACCCUGCUGUCCGUCCAGAGUUGGACCUUGUGGAGCAGGAAGACCAGUUAACGCAUGAGAUAUCACUCCAGGAGAACAUAGAUCCUGAGAUCAGCCUUGAUAUUUUCAAGCCAGAUCCUAAUUUCCUUGAAAAUGAGAAGCGCUAUGAAGAAUUGAGGAAAAAUAUCCUUGGUGAGGAGUCUGAGGAUGAAGAAGGUUCUGAUGCAGAUUCAGGUGAUGAGGAUGAGGAUGAGGAUGAGGAUGAGGAGGAGGAGGAGGAGGAGGACGAUGACGACGAACAACAGAUGCAAAUAAAAGAUGAGACUGAAACUAAUCUUGUAAAUCUUCGGAGGACAAUUUAUCUAACUAUCAUGUCCAGUGUAGAUUUUGAGGAGGCUGGCCACAAGUUACUGAAAAUUAAACUUGAGCCAGGACAGGAGAUGGAAUUAUGCAUCAUGCUUUUGGAAUGUUGCAGUCAGGAGAGAACUUAUNNNNNNNNNNNNNUUUUGGGGCAGCGAUUUUGCAUGAUCAACAAAGUCUACCAAGAAAAUUUUGAGAAAUGCUUUGUUCAACAAUAUUCCAUGAUUCAUCGGCUAGAAACAAAUAAGUUACGUAAUGUGGCAAAGUUUUUUGCCCAUUUACUUGGUACUGAUGCCCUGCCUUGGCAUGUAUUGGCCUAUAUACGGUUAACUGAAGAGGACACCACUUCCUCUUCUCGUAUAUUUAUCAAGAUUCUCUUCCAGGAGUUGUCAGAGCAUCUGGGAAUCCGCACAUUGAAUGAGCGCCUUACAGAUCCUGCCAUGCAAGACUCAUUUGAAUCUAUUUUCCCUAGAGAUAAUCCAAAGAAUACACGCUUUUCCAUCAAUUUCUUCACAUCCAUCGGGCUUGGUGGCAUCACCGAAAAUUUGCGCGAAUACUUGAAGAAUAUGCCAAGGCUUAUCAUGCAACAGCAAAAACCUGUCUCAGAAUCUGAGUCAGAAUCUGAAUCAGAUGAUGAAUCAGGGUCUGGUGGUUCGGAGUCUGAAUCAGAGUCAGAUUCAUCAAGUUCUGAUGAGGAUGAAAGACACGUGAAGCGGAGUAGAAGUGAUGGGGAUGAAAGAAGCAGGAGUAGAGGUGAUAGGGAUGAAAGAAGCAGGAAGCGAAGUAGAAAUGAUAGGGAUGAAAGAAACAGGAAGCAUAGUAGGAGAGAUUAGGGAAAUGGAAACCUCCUGCCGCAAGGUCAAAAGCUUGAUGUUUUAAAUUUAGAUAUUUAUUUGAGGCCAUCAUGUAAAUAUGGCAGUGUUCUCUACAAGCUUUUCUGCAUUAGAAUUGUCUUUUUCAGUUUGAUACUUCAAGUUUAUUCCAUGUUAAAGUAGUUGAUUGUCCUGUACUUAAUCUUGUAUUAUUAUCUUUAGCUUAGAAUAAACUUGAAGUAUCAA
rnacentral:misc_RNA from 1 species